rnacentral:rRNA from 1 species
UACGAAGGGGGCUAGCGUUGUUCGGAAUCACUGGGCGUAAAGCGCGUGUAGGCGGAUUGUUAAGUCGGGGGUGAAAUCCCGAGGCUCAACCUCGGAACUGCCUUCGAUACUGGCGAUCUUGAGUCCGGGAGAGGUGAGUGGAACUCCGAGUGUAGAGGUGAAAUUCGUAGAUAUUCGGAAGAACACCAGUGGCGAAGGCGGCUCACUGGCCCGGUACUGACGCUGAUAUGCGAAAGCGUGGGGAGCAAACAGG